GUUCUACUGUAUUGUGUCAACGUGUCCGAAAGAAGUUUUACUACUUUAAAUAGUACUUCGUACAGCUAUUGAAUUGGAAAGGCGAUGAAAAUUUAAUUAUAAACAUAAAAAGUCUAAGUAAAUACCCCCAUCUGCUUUCAUAUCACAAUAUACUUUUAGUGGUGUACUGUCCAAGGCAAUCCAAUAUUCCCCAUUUGAUAAGGAUGUCCCUUUUGUUCGUUGAAGAAUGUCUAAGCAUGAUUUUCCAGGAUAGCUGUAGUCACCAACCUUUGACUGAAUGCAACA